GGGGAUUUAGCUCAGUGGCACAGCAUCUGCCUCGCAAGCACAAGGUCCUGAGUUCAAUCCCUGGUUACCCCC
rnacentral:tRNA from 1 species